rnacentral:rRNA from 1 species
GGGUUGUGAGGUUAAGCGACUAAGCGUACACGGUGGAUGCCCUGGCAGUCAGAGGCGAUGAAGGGCGUGCUAAUCUGCGAUAAGCGCCGGUAAGGUGAUAUGAACCGUUAUAACCGGCGAUACCCGAAUGGGGAAACCCAGUGUGUUUCGACACACUAUCAUUAACUGAAUCCAUAGGUUAAUGAGGCGAACCGGGGGAACUGAAACAUCUAAGUACCCCGAGGAAAAGAAAUCAACCGAGAUUCCCCCAGUAGCGGCGAGCGAACGGGGAGGAGCCCAGAGCCUGAAUCAGCAUGUGUGUUAGUGGAAGCGUCUGGAAAGGCGCGCGAUACAGGGUGACAGCCCCGUACACAAAAGCGCAUGUGCUGUGAGCUCGAUGAGUAGGGCGGGACACGUGGUAUCCUGUCUGAAUAUGGGGGGACCAUCCUCCAAGGCUAAAUACUCCUGACUGACCGAUAGUGAACCAGUACCGUGAGGGAAAGGCGAAAAGAACCCCGGCGAGGGGAGUGAAAAAGAACCUGAAACCGUGUACGUACAAGCAGUGGGAGCACCCUUUGGGGUGUGACUGCGUACCUUUUGUAUAAUGGGUCAGCGACUUAUAUUCUGUAGCAAGGUUAACCGUAUAGGGGAGCCGGAGGGAAACCGAGUCUUAAU